rnacentral:rRNA from 1 species
GUCCACGCCAUAAACGAUGAGUGCUAGUUGUUGGGGGGAAGCCCUCAGUGACGACGCUAACGCAUUAAGCACUCCGCCUGGGGAGUACGGCCGCAAGGUUAAAACUCAAAGGAAUUGACGGGGGCCCGCACAAGCGGUGGAGCAUGUGGUUCAAUUCGAAGCAACGCGAAGAACCUUACCAGCCCUUGACAUGGGGAGUAUGGGCCUGAGAGAUCGGGUCCUUCAGUUCGGCUGGCUCCCACACAGGUGCUGCAUGGCUGUCGU